GUAUGGUGCAAGCGUUAUCCGGAUUUACUGGGUGUAAAGGGAGCGCAGGCGGUGCGGCAAGUCUGAUGUGAAAGCCCGGGGCUCAACCCCGGUACUCAUUGGAAACUGUCGUACUAGAGUGUCGGAGGGGUAAGUGGAAUUCCUAGUGUAGCGGUGAAAUGCGUAGAUAUUAGGAGGAACACCAGUGGCGAAGGCGGCUUACUGGACGAUAACUGACGCUGAGGCUCGAAAGCGUGGGGAGCAAACAGGAUUAGAUACCCUGGUAGUCCACGCUGUAAACGAUGAAUACUAGGUGUUGGAGAGCAUUGCUCUUCGGUGCCGCAGCAAACGCAAUAAGUAUUCCACCUGGGGAGUACGUUCGCAAGAAUG
rnacentral:rRNA from 1 species